GUGUUUGACAGGCAGCAGGUGUCGUCUCCCUGGAAUCUGGGGGACCGCUGAAAACUCGAGGAUAAAGCAAAAUGGCGUCCAAAGCUUUUGAUGUGCAACAAACGUUUAAUGAUGAAAUCAAAACAAACACCAAAAUUCACAACGCUUCAGACAAGUUUUACUUCAGGGGUUUGUAUGUAUUUGUGGCAUGUUGGACUCUUACCUUCACAUUGGCCAUCUUAGUCAGCUAUAUGGAGAUGACACAUCUGAGGAGCACUGCUGAACAAGUGCAGGAGCAAAUAAAAUCAGAAGUAGAUAACAUUAGGACAAGAAAUAAAAGGGAAGUUGAUCCGUGUAUAGCAGUAAGAGAUUAUUGCUACAAAAAUUACAGGAUAAAAGGUAGUUUUAACUCAUUUUUUU
rnacentral:sRNA from 1 species